AAGAAGAAAAGAGUUGCCCCCGAGAUCGGACACUGGAGAGCAGGCGUCUUCUGUCGCGUAAAGUAAGGCCGAUCUCCGGCCACCCGGCGAGGCGGAUGACAACAGCGUCCUUGUAGGCAGGCUGGCUGGAGUGUCGGGCUUCAGGAGACGCGGAGGGGAACCGGAGUAGAGAUAUACGAGCUCUUUGAAAGCAGAACACUGUUGUUUCCAUGUUCUGAUCAUUCAGAGAUUAUGAAGGCACAGUUCCUGCCUUUUAUUUGCUUACAGUCAAGCGGAGUAGACACAGGUCAUGGUGGCAGUAUAGCCCCUUAAGUAUUCUGAAGGAGUGAAUGGAUUAUAUUCUUGUCUCCAGUCCAGUCUGUUUGAAUAUACGGACAUCUCGUAAGCUGCUUUCAAAGAGACCCACAUUUAGGCUUAGGAAUGAGCACAGGGGAGACAGCAAGAAUGCCACAUCAUGGUGAAUUGUGCUGGGGGCAGCUGCCACUGUGUGAGCCACGUAAGAUUUUAACACAUUUUGGAGGAUGAGAAGAGCAAACUGAUGACCAAGCACGUGCUUCAGAAAUUACUUUAUUGCAUGUGUACAAGUGAUUGCAUAUUGUUGUUUGAACCAGCAGGAAGUCAAUUAUUAAACAUACACUUUUCCAAAUGAAAGGCAGUUUAAUUUUACCAGAAACCAGUGUCAUUUUGUAUCCCAAGUCUCUAACCAGCUUUACAAUCUCAUCUAAUAAAGGUGCCUUAAAUUCUGAGUAUUUUGAAUUAUUAAACCGUGUUAGUUUACACCAGGAUUCUAUGGUGGUUUUACAUAUUCUCUUUCCCCUUUGUUAAGGUGGGGAAGCCAAAGAUUAUGUUAAUAACUUGCUCAAGAGUUAUAAAGUGAUAUAGGUAAAGCUAAGAAAAGAACAGAUUUUGGUAUCUUUUGCCCAGUAUGAGGGAUUGUGGCUACAAUGGUCUGAUUUUUUUAAAAAAAAUCUUUUUCUGUUUUGUUUUUUAACAGAUUUAUCAGCAGGUUGCAGGUGAACAUGGCCUUGAGGUAAAUCCUGCCCCUUAUUGAAAUUUAGUUCCAGCAGAUUGUUCUUGGCAUUUUAAGGAAUUAGAAUAUUUUACAAAAAACAAAAGUUUUGUUUUGGUUCUUUUCUAGACUUUUUUUUUCUUGUGGAAGAUGAGAAACAUGUUUAAAGAAGGGUUCUUCAUGCUGAAUAAUUGUGAUGCUUGAAGUUGGUCAUCUGCCUUAUUUAGAUUAAGUGGAUUUUAAAAAUCAAAGCUAUUUCUACACCAUUUUUUUCUUGAUCAAAUAAAAUUUUAUUAGAACCUUA